rnacentral:tRNA from 1 species
GGCGGAGUCAGCUAAUUUAAGCUUCUGGGCCCAUACCCCAGAAAUGACGGUUAAAACCCUUCCUCCACCA